GACGAACCGUGCGAACGUUAUUCGGAAUCACUGGGCUUAAAGCGCGUGUAGGCGGCCCGGCACGUCCGUCGCUGAAAUCCCCCGGCUCAACCGGGGAAGUGGCGGGGAUACGACCGGGCUGGAGGGGGGUAGGGGGAGCCGGAACUUCCGGUGGAGCGGUGAAAUGCGUUGAGAUCGGAAGGAACGCCCGUGGCGAAAGCGGGCUCCUGGACCCCACCUGACGCUGAUGCACGAAAGCUAGGGGAGCAAACAGG
rnacentral:rRNA from 1 species